UACGUAGGGUGCAAGCGUUAAUCGGAAUUACUGGGCGUAAAGCGCGCGUAGGCGGCUUUGUAAGUUAGAGGUGAAAGCCCGGGGCUCAACUCCGGAACUGCCUUUAAGACUGCAUCGCUUGAAUCCGGGAGAGGUGAGUGGAAUUCCGAGUGUAGAGGUGAAAUUCGUAGAUAUUCGGAAGAACACCAGUGGCGAAGGCGGCUCACUGGACCGGUAUUGACGCUGAGGUGCGAAAGCGUGGGGAGCAAACAGG
rnacentral:rRNA from 1 species